rnacentral:misc_RNA from 1 species
GGUGGGGUUGUGGGGGGGGUGGGGAGGAGGUAGAAGAAAAUAAUGAACACACAUUGACCAAGACAGAAUGAUGCUUUUCCAACCUCAUACUCCUUCAACACACACUGUUGUUGAUUCCUACCAUUCUUGACAGGAGAAUGAAGUUGCACACUACAAUAGUCGCAAAACCAAAUCAAGAUGUAUCACACUUCUUUGUCACUGUGACAUUGUACAUUUAUAGCGAUUGGUUGAUGACGUUUUCAAACUGUUUCUUCCACUUUUAUUAGAAAACCAACCUCAUUUUAAUUUUUAACACCACAAUUCCCCGACCAUGUUAAAAUGAAAAAUAUAACACUUAUCUGGGCCGAUUUUGAAAAUCAA